AGAAGAGGAAUGGAUACGACGAGUUCUACGAACAAGAGAUAAGGGAGUGAAGAA
rnacentral:sRNA from 1 species